CGGUGUCGCCGGAUCUAGGCGUGCUCGAGCUCGCCCAGCCAAGGUGAGGCUCGGCGAGCUCGAGCUCGCCUAGAUCCGGUGACGCCGA
rnacentral:pre_miRNA from 1 species